UACGAAGGGGGCUAGCGUUGCUCGGAAUCACUGGGCGUAAAGGGUGCGUAGGCGGGUCUUUAAGUCAGGGGUGAAAUCCUGGAGCUCAACUCCAGAACUGCCUUUGAUACUGAGGAUCUUGAGUUCGGGAGAGGUGAGUGGAACUGCGAGUGUAGAGGUGAAAUACGUAGAGAUUGGGAAGAACACCAGUGGCGAAGGCGGCUAUCUGGACGGUUUCUGACGCUAAGACGCGAAAGCGUGGGGAGCAAACAGG
rnacentral:rRNA from 1 species